rnacentral:misc_RNA from 1 species
UUGAAUCCUUAGGAUGUUGCUGGCCUUUAGGGGCAUGUGCACUCCACCUUUCAAUCCACCUGUGAACUUAUUGUAGGCCAGAUGUUACAGUCUGCGUCUAUGUCUUUACACACCCUUUUAAAAAGUUUAUAGAAUGUCUAAUGGGAAGACCUUUGAUGGUCAUUAACUUAAUA